rnacentral:rRNA from 1 species
CUACGGGAUGCACCAGUGGGGAAUAUUGGACAAUGGGGGAAACCCUGAUCCGGCAAUGCCGCGUGUGUGAAGAAGGCCUGCGGGUUGUAAAGCACUUUCGGUUGGGAGGACUGCUUCUAGCACUAAUAUUGUUGGAAGUUGACGUUACCUUCAGAAGAAGCACCGGCUAACUCCGUGCCAGCAGCCGCGGUAAUACGGAGGGUGCAAGCGUUAAUCGGAAUUACUGGGCGUAAAGCGCGCGUAGGCGGCUAGAUCAGUCGGGUGUGAAAGCCCCGGGCUUAACCUGGGAACUGCAUCCGAUACUGUCUAGCUUGAGUACAGGAGAGGAGAGUGGAAUUCCACAUGUAGCGGUGAUAUGCGUAGAUAUGUGGAGGAACACCAAUGGCGAAGGCAGCUCUCUGGCCUGAUACUGACGCUGAGGUACGAAAGCGUGGGGAGCAAACAGGAUUAGAUACCCUAGUAGUC